rnacentral:rRNA from 1 species
UACGGAGGGGGCUAGCGUUGUUCGGAAUUACUGGGCGUAAAGCGCACGUAGGCGGCUUUGUAAGUUAGAGGUGAAAGCCCGGGGCUCAACUCCGGAAUUGCCUUUAAGACUGCAUCGCUAGAAUUGUGGAGAGGUAAGUGGAAUUCCGAGUGUAGAGGUGAAAUUCGUAGAUAUUCGGAAGAACACCAGUGGCGAAGGCGACUUACUGGACACAUAUUGACGCUGAGGAGCGAAAGUGU